rnacentral:tRNA from 1 species
GGAGAGGUGGCUGAGUGGCUGAAAGCGCCUUCCUGCUAAGAAGGUAUACUGUGUUAAACGGUAUCGGGGGUUCGAAUCCCCCCCUCUCCG